GUGACUGAGUUGUCAGAAGAGGCCCUAUUCUGUGUCGCCACAAUGAGGCUCACCUGCAGGUAGGAGAACACUUCUUUUCUUCCAGCUCUUCUUUCCUCCAGGCUUCCCAGAGUUCACUGUACCUGAGGGAAGAAUCACCUGCACUUGGAUUGUGCUGCUUUAGGUAAGUUCACAUUCCACCACUCAGUGGUCUUUUUUUCAAGAUAAUAUUUUUUGUAUUGGUCUCUCCUUUUUCUCAUUUUCUUUUCUACUGGUCGUUUCACAGGUCUCUCCAAAGAGCUCUUCUGAACAUCUUAUGGGGUGUUUUUUUCCUGAGAGAACAUUCGCAGAAUGUUCUCUCAGGUUUUGCUUUUUACCUUGUUGCAUUGCUCAAAAAAAAGAGCAAAAGACACUGGUGGUCGGCACUCCUGGUUCCCAGGACGGGGUUCAAGUCCCUGUGGUGUCCAUGCUAACUUCCAAUGCAACAAUCAUGCCCCUCUUUCCCCCCCCAUAGCCCUCACUUCCCAAUGUAUUAGCAUGGGAGGGUUUUUGGAUAGUGAUUUCAGUGAAUAAGCUUGGUUCUGAACUCCGCCAAAGCAUCUAAGGACCAAAUCAAGCAACCUUUGCACUGUGCCUGUUGCUCUAAUGAUGCUUCCCUGAUUCAUCACCAGCUAGAUCAUGUGGGUGCUUCCUAUCCUAGCAUCCCAGGUACGUCGACUGGAAACAGCCCUGAUGGCAGACAGACAACCAUUUGCCAGCCGACCAGUGGAGUUCAAAUUACAGCAGCAGCUCAGAGAGGAGGAACGAAAAUGGAAGCUCCAUGUCUGGGAAUGAGGAAGGGGAGGGGCUGACCCCCUUAGCCCCCGCUCUCGUUGAAUAGGCGGCCUUCAGGACAGAUCACGUCACAAGAGGAGGCUGGGCUGCUUUUGGUUUCAUCAGAAGAAGUCUCCUCAGUAGGAACAUCUUCACUGAUGGGCAGACGGCAGCGUUCACCGCUCCAUGAACCCUGUUGGGUUUUUUUGCAAUAAAUCUUCUUUCUAAUUAA